AGCGAACGCUGGCGGCGUGCCUAACACAUGCAAGCCGAACGUGAAAAGGGAAGCCUGAGUAAAGUGGCGUACGGGUGAGUAACGCGUAGGUAAUCUACCCCAGAAUCUGGAAUAACCUGCCGAAAGGCGGGCUAAUACUGGAUAGAGCGAGGGAACUCGUAAGAGAGUUUUUCGGGAAAGGGAGCCCGCAAGGGCCUUCGUUCUGGGAUGAGCCUGCGUCUCAUUAGCUAGUUGGUAAGGUAACGGCUUACCAAGGCGAUGAUGAGUAGCUGGUCUGAGAGGAUGAUCAGCCACACUGGAACUGAAACACGGUCCAGACUCCUACGGGAGGCAGCAGUGGGGAAUCUUGCGCAAUGGACGAAAGUCUGACGCAGCCACGCCGCGUGAGUGAAGAAGGCCUUCGGGUUGUAAAGCUCUGUCGGAUGGGACGAACAUCUUCAUAGUGAAUAGCUAUGAGGACUGACGGUACCAUCAAAGGAAGCACCGGCUAACUCCGUG
rnacentral:rRNA from 1 species